rnacentral:sRNA from 1 species
GGCGCUGCUGGCUCCAGGCCGCCCUCCGGAUCCGAUCCUGCGAAUGGUUUUGGCCACAUCUUCAUGUAGGACCUACUGCCUAUCCCGUCGGCCGCGGCUGGGCUUCAUCACCAGGCCUCCUCACAGAUUCCUGUCCCUUCUGUGUCCCGGACUCCGGAUACCUCGACUGUCAGUACUUUGUGCUCAGCCCAGGCCCAGAGCCAUGGCUAUCUCCUCUUCCUCCUGCGAACUGCCCCUGGUGGCUGUGUGCCAGGUAACAUCGACGCCAGACAAGCAACAGAACUUUAAAACAUGUGCUGAGCUGGUUCGAGAGGCUGCCAGACUGGGUGCCUGCCUGGCUUUCCUGCCUGAGGCAUUUGACUUCAUUGCACGGGACCCUGCAGAAACGCUACGCCUGUCUGAACCACUGGGUGGGAAACUUUUGGAAGAAUACAGCCAGCUUGCCAGGGAAUGUGGACUCUGGCUGUCCUUGGGUGGUUUCCAUGAGCGUGGCCAAGACUGGGAGCAGACUCAGAAAAUCUACAAUUGUCACGUGCUGCUGAACAGCAAA